UUUCCGUAGGUGAACCUGCGGAAGGAUCAUUAUUGAAUAAACCUGAUAAGUUGUUGCUGGUUCUCUAGGGAGCAUUGUGCACGCUUGUCAUCUUUAUAUUUCCACCUGUGCACCUUUUGUAGACCUGGAUAAUCUCUCCAAGUUACUUGGGAUUUGGGGAUAGUCUUUUCUUUCCCUUACAUUUCCAGGCCUAUGUUUCUUCAUAUACCCCUAAUGUAUGUCAUAGAAUGUGAUAAUGGGCCUUUGUUGCCUAUAAACCUUAUACAACUUUCAGCAACGGAUCUCUUGGCUCUCGCAUCGAUGAAGAACGCAGCGAAAUGCGAUAAGUAAUGUGAAUUGCAGAAUUCAGUGAAUCAUCGAAUCUUUGAACGCACCUUGCGCUCCUUGGUAUUCCGAGGAGCAUGCCUGUUUGAGUGUCAUUAAUAUAAUCAAACCUCUAGUUUUUUCUGGAGUGUUUGGAUGUGGGGGUUUUUGUUGGCCUUUAUUUUCUGAAGGUCAACUCCUCUGAAAUGUAUUAGCGGAACAGUUAACUGGGUUCAUUGGUGUGAUAAUUAUCUACGCUAUUGACAAUGGAUAACAAGUUCAGCUUCUAACAGUCCAUUGACUUGGACAAAUUUUUUCAUUAAUGUGACCUCAAAUCAGGUAGGACUACCCGCUGAACUUAA
rnacentral:rRNA from 1 species